rnacentral:rRNA from 1 species
AUUGAACGCUGGCGGAAUGCUUUACACACGCAAGUCGAACGGCAGCACGGGGGCAACCCUGGUGGCGAGUGGCGAACGGGUGAGUAAUACAUCGGAACGUGCCCAGUCGUGGGGGAUAACGUAGCGAAAGUUACGCUAAUACCGCAUACGAUCUACGGAUGAAAGCGGGGGACCGUAAGGCCUCGCGCGAUUGGAGCGGCCGAUGUCAGAUUAGGUAGUUGGUGAGGUAAAGGCUAACCAAGCCGACGAUCUGUAGCUGGUCUGAGAGGACGACCAGCCACACUGGGACUGAGACACGGCCCAGACUCCUACGGGAGGCAGCAGUGGGGAAUUUUGGACAAUGGGCGCAAGCCUGAUCCAGCCAUUCCGCGUGCAGGACGAAGGCCUUCGGGUUGUAAACUGCUUUUGUACGGAACGAAAAGGCUCUGGUUAAUACCUGGGGCUCAUGACGGUACCGUAAGAAUAAGCACCGGCUAACUACGUGCCAGCCGCCGCAGUAA